ACAACCAUAUCACCUUGCAACACCGGUUCCCGUAUGAUCAUCGAAGUUAAGCAACGUCGAGUCUGGUCAGUACCUAGUGACCGCAUAGGAAUACUAAGUACUGUAAG